GAUGAACGCUGGCGGCGUGCCUAAUACAUGCAAGUCGAGCGAAUGGAUUAAGAGCUUGCUCUUAUGAAGUUAGCGGCGGACGGGUGAGUAACACGUGGGUAACCUGCCCAUAAGACUGGGAUAACUCCGGGAAACCGGGGCUAAUACCGGAUAACAUUUUGAACCGCAUGGUUCGAAAUUGAAAGGCGGCUUCGGCUGUCACUUAUGGAUGGACCCGCGUGGCAUUAGCUAGUUGGUGAGGUAACGGUACACCAAGGCAACGAUGCGUAGCCGGCCUGAGAGGGUGAACGGCCACACUGGGACUGAGACACGGCCCAGACUCCUACGGGAGGCAGCAGUAGGGAAUCUUCCGCAAUGGACGAAAGUCUGACGGAGCAACGCCGCGUGAGUGAUGAAGGCUUUCGGGUCGUAAAACUCUGUUGUUAGGGAAGAACAAGUGCUAGUUGAAUAAGCUGGCACCUUGACGGUACCUAACCAGAAAGCCACGGCUAACUACGUGCCAGCCGCCGCGGUAA
rnacentral:rRNA from 1 species